rnacentral:rRNA from 1 species
GAUGAACGCUAGCUACAGGCUUAACACAUGCAAGUCGAGGGGAAACGGCAUUGAGUGCUUGCACUCUUUGGACGUCGACCGGCGCACGGGUGAGUAACGCGUAUCCAACCUUCCCAUUACUGUGGGAUAACCUGCCGAAAGGCAGACUAAUACCGCAUAGUCUUCGAUGACGGCAUCAGAUUUGAAGUAAAGAUUUAUCGGUAAUGGAUGGGGAUGCGUCUGAUUAGCUUGUUGGCGGGGUAACGGCCCACCAAGGCGACGAUCAGUAGGGGUUCUGAGAGGAAGGUCCCCCACAUUGGAACUGAGACACGGUCCAAACUCCUACGGGAGGCAGCAGUGAGGAAUAUUGGUCAAUGGACGGAGGUCUGAACCAGCCAAGUAGCGUGCAGGAUGACGGCCCUAUGGGUUGUAAACUGCUUUUGUAUGGGGAUAAAGUUAGGGACGUGUCCCUAUUUGCAGGUACCAUACGAAUAAGGACCGGCUAAUUCCGUGCCAGCAGCCGCGGUAAUACGGAAGGUCCAGGCGUUAUCCGGAUUUAUUGGGUUUAAAGGGAGCGUAGGCUGGAGAUUAAGUGUGUUGUGAAAUGUAGACGCUCAACGUCUGACUUGCAGCGCAUACUGGUUUCCUUGAGUACGCACGACGUUGGCGGAAUUCGUCGUGUAGCGGUGAAAUGCUUAGAUAUGACGAAGAACUCCGAUUGCGAAGGCAGCUGACGGGAGCGCAACUGACGCUUAAGCUCGAAGGUGCGGGUAUCAAACAGG